UCCAAGCACCAGCUAGUGCUCUGUGC
rnacentral:piRNA from 1 species